rnacentral:lncRNA from 7 species
UUCAGGCUUAUUGUGCAGCUGCAGGCGGGAUGCUCAGUCUGGCUGUCACUAUCUCCCCACUUCUGAAGGCCAAUAAGGGAAAACUCCAUGAGCUCUGGGAAAAACCCUAAGAAAUCUGAUAGACCCUCUGGACAAAUUCUUGAAUACUGCAUAAACCAGAAAUGGGGACACUCCAACACCUUAUCUCAGCCCUCCCCCGUCACCAUCAGCUGGGAAGUACAUAUCACAGCAAAUCUGACCCACCAAACCCAGAACCUCUCACAGUCCAACCUGUGCAGCCCGUGGCUCCAAGAAAUUGGAAUUUUAACGGGAUAGCAGCCCCCUCUAUUUCACUGGAGAGGGACAGCAGUAGUCGAUGGUGAUCUCCUACAUCUUCUGUGUCUGGGUUCAGCUGUCACACCACCAAACCACUGUGGUAUUCAACAGAAAGCUUUGAAGUGCAUGAAGAGGAGAGUUUGGGUUAACAAAUGUUUUUUGUCUUCUUUUUAUUUACACAUACACAGUAACUAUUUUCAAGUGCUGAUUUUUCAUUAUUUCCUAGUACUUCCUAGAGGAGAAGUCAGAUUCACAGCACAGAAAUCCAUUUUCUAUCUGAAUCUUAGGCUUUUACUUCUGUCAUUUUUACUAGUAAGCAGAUGCUUUACUCCAUGACUCUUCCCCUGAAAGCUCCUUUUCCUUUUCCUUUUCCUUUUCCUUUUCCUUUUCCUUUUCCUUUUCCUUUUCCUUUUCCUUUUCCUUUUCCUUUUCCUUUCCCUUUCCCUUUCCCUUUCCCUUUCCCUUUCCCUUUCCCUUUCCCUUUCCCUUUCCCUUUCCCUUUCCCUUUCCCUUUCCCUUUCCCUUUCUUUUUUUUUUUUUUUUUUUUUUUUUUUGUUAGGAUAAUCUGCAUGCAGAGAUUUAUUGUGAUAGUACCUCUGAUUUUUGUCUCUGGCUGUUUAUUUGUUUAUUAAUUCUUUAGUUUUUUCUUCCCCUGUAGAUCAAAGACUGCUAUUUAUGUAGUCUUUACUCUUGGUCCUUGAUGCUAUAUCUCCAAAAACAUUCAAUUUUUUAGACUGGAUUCCCUUAGCUUUGUUUAUAGAGUCUCAACCCAAGUUUACUGAGGUCACUGACUGUAUUACCUCUGACUUCAGUGCAUUUGGUUUGAAAGUCGAUUAAAUCAACCUGCUAUAGUCAAUACUUCUCUUGUAAGUUGUAGAAGUCCAGAAACUGUUCAGAACUACCACUUCCAUGUAAUUUUGUGUCACAUCAUGUCUGGCAUGUUUUUAUCAGGUGGUCAUGCGUAGAGAGUGUUGAAGAAACUCCUUGUGGGUAACAAUGUUGUAUUUGCUUUUUUAUUAAUCAGUAUUAAUAGUGUAUUUUGAUGUGGGGGAAAAUUGUGUGUUUAUAUGGAGAAAGUCACUGCUUGAAUGUGCAUUUCAGGGAAAAGAGUACAAAGAUUUUCUGAGACAAAAAAAAUGUGGUCAGAGAACCUCAGUUCAUUUGCAGAAGAUUUCACUGUUACCAUAAAAUAUUGCCUCAGUUAUUUUGCCAUACUGGUCAUCCACUUGUGAAAGAGGUCUUUAAGCUGUAACAUUUUUUUGCUUUAGCAGCUCAGUUUUUUUUUUUUUUUACAUCAACUCCCUUCUUUCCUAGUCUUUGCACAGAUUGAAUUGUAACUCAUCUGCAGAUGGAGGGAGAAAAGGAGAGAGCAUUAAUCUAACCAGUUAUGAAAAGAAACCUGGACAGUUCUUUUGUUUAUCCUGAACCAACUCUUUGACGUGUAGGUAGACUUACAGAAUUGACUGGGGGAAAUGGCAUAGCAAUAGGUCCCUAAAUUAGAAUUCCUCUCUCUCAAUUUCUUUCCCCACCUUUCACCUCCCCCCUCUCUCACAUUCAGAUGAUAUAAUUAAUUUCCUUUAGCUUUACUGUACAUUUACAUUUAAGAAAGAUAAAAAGUACCAAUUUUACUUCUGGACAAAUGUGAAUUAAAUUGUCCUGUAGAAUGCGGCCAAAAUGGAAAAUAAUAAAAAGAAACACUGUAAAGUGUAUCAAGCACAUAUCCAGUUAUAUUUGAGAUCAGUCACUUUGAUGUUUGAUUUAGUCGUACCAUCUAGGUGUUUGAUAGCCUCAGACUUCAUCUCUCUCAUAUAAAAUCAUAUACAUGUCCUUUCCUGGAAUGUGCCAAAGAGUGUUGUCAAAAGGGCGUUUCAUUCUCAGUUGUCUGCAGGAGUAUGGACAUGACUGCUAAACUAUCAGAAAAUUAAAUUAAACUUGAUGGCUGUGCUAUCCCCAAAGGGCAGAGAACCCGAUUUCACUGAAAGCAGAACACACUAAUCCACAGCAUUAGCAACUUGCCAAGGCUGUCUAAGUCAGUGCUUGUCUUUGUCAGAGUGGAAAGGAAGAAAGAUAUAUGAGGAGCUGGUGGCCAGGACAGGUUUGAGCUAAUGAAAUUGGUGCUAACCAAAGAGAUUAACAAUAAUCUACAUCCAGAAAAGACUGAAAAUAAAGGAAAGAAUAGAUAGAAGAGGAAGAAAAGGAGAGAAUAAAAAUAUUGAUUUUGGAUUUUUGAAUUUCAUAUUCUAAAAUUUUGAUUUUAAAUAAAAUUAAAAGUUAUAUGAUAGCGUAUUUCUAGUGGUGGUCAGUGCUUUAAUGUCAGCUCAUGCAGUUCUGUCCUACUUUCUGUUGAGGUGUCUAGCGCAUAUUCCUAUCACACUUAACAUAUUUGAAACUUAUAAUAAACAUUAGAGAAAUAUGAAUAUUUCAUUUAUUUUUGAAAUUCGUAUUUCACCUCGUGUUCUCUUCUGUUGUCCCCUCUUGACCAAUCUCUUGUUUUCAGUUCCCACUUUUCCUCAUUUAUUUAUUCCCAGGAAUGAUCUGAAGGGCCCUAAACACUCACGCUCUCAUAAAUUAAUUUUUCAUCUUUCAAGAUGAGAUUGAAAAAAGGUGCCCCUAUUCAUUAGCAAAGUGAAAAAGGGCUGGAAUUAGGUGAGAGGAAAGAAAAAGAAACUUAAAGAUCUUCUGUAUCAAGCUGUGACCAAUAGAGUGAAUCAUGGAAUGGUUUGUGUUGGAAGGGAUUUUUAAGGUCAUCUAGUUCCAACCAUCCUGCUACAGGCAGGGACACCUCCCUCUUGACCAGAUUGCUCAAAGCCACAUCCAGCCUGGCCUUGAAUGCUUCCAGGGAGGAAGCAUCCACAGUCUCACUGGGCAACCUGUUCCAGUGUCUCACCACCCUCACAGAAAAGAAUUUCUUCCUAAAAUCUAGUCUAAUAGCUAACUAAUAGUCUGAUAGCUGUACUUGUGCAGACUGGAAUGCUUGUGGAGCAGUUUUUUGUAAGUGAAAGGUGUGGCUGACUUCUCUCAGAGGUGAUUUCACCCAGCACUGGCUCCCAUUGUACCUAGACAGUACAGAAACAACAUGUGCUGCUUGUAUUUCAUUUAGGCUCUGUUAUAGGUGAGUUAUCAAGAAUGGCGAAGAAUGCUGUCUGAUUUUCUUUUUGAGAUGGCAUGUGGGCCACUAUGGGUAUGGUUUAUAUUCUCCCUUUUCCCCCACCCCACAGAAACAAGCUGGAAUUUGUCCUUCUUUAUUUUGCUUUUAUCAUUUGCUGUUUUAUUUGCAUUCAAUUAUUUGUUUUUAUUUUAUUUACUACUUUAUAAUGGAAUUUUUUUAGACAAAUGAAUAUUUAAUAAAUGAAUUAUGU